UACGGAGGGUGCAAGCGUUAUCCGGAUUUACUGGGUUUCAAGGGUGCGUAGGUUGUUUGGUAAGUUAGUGGUGAAAUACUACAGCGCAACUGUGGAACUGCCAUUAAUACUAUCAAUCUUGAAUGCAGUGGAGGCGGGCGGAAUGUGUCAUGUAGCGGUGAAAUGCUUAGAUAUGACACAGAACACCAAUUGCGAAGGCAGCUUGCUACACUGUGAUUGACACUGAGGCACGAAAGCGUGGGGAUCAAACAGG
rnacentral:rRNA from 1 species